AUUGAACGCUGGCGGCAUGCCUUACACAUGCAAGUCGAACGGCAGCACGGGAGCAAUCCUGGUGGCGAGUGGCGAACGGGUGAGUAAUAUAUCGGAACGUGCCCAGUCGUGGGGAUAACGUAGCGAAAGCUACGCUAAUACCGCAUACGAUCUAUGGAUGAAAGCGGGGGGAUCGCAAGACCUCGCGCGAUUGGAGCGGCCGAUAUCAGAUUAGGUAGUUGGUGAGGUAAAGGCUCACCAAGCCAACGAUCUGUAGCUGGUCUGAGAGGACGGACCCAGCCCACACUGGAACUGAGACACGGUCCAGACUCCUACGGGAGGCAGCAGUGGGGAAUUUUGGACAAUGGACG
rnacentral:rRNA from 1 species